GCGUAUAUCGCGGAAGCUACACCAUUUUGGGUUUCGGGGGUUAACGGCAGCUAGCUGUCGGUGUUAGCUUCCACGGCGCUUCGUUGCUUAUUACGUUUCAUUUUUCCUGCUUUCAUAUCAAAGUUGAGUAAACAGAGAGUCGAACCCGCACCUUUCUUCGUUUGAGAAAUGGACGGAGAAGACGACGAGUUUAUGUCCGGGAGCCGCUCCGAUGAUGGAGGCGGAACUCCGGUUCAGGACGAACAUCCUGCGUCUGACGGUGAAGAGAUGAGGAGCGACGGCCGUCAGUCUGAGGAUGAAGGCAGUAAUGAUGAGGACGCCGCCCACCGGAUGGAGACCAGCGGAGCGGCCAGCGGCUCCGACAAUGAGGACCGUCGGGGUCCAAACAGCGACUCCGAGGACGAGGCUCCCAGGGGUCGCCGUGACGACAGGAGCGACUCGGAGGCAGAGGCCCCGCGGCCGGCCGACAGCGACGACGACUCUCCGGUCAAACGCAGGAUGAGCGCGUCUGACAACGAGGAGGAAGAUUCUCCGGUCAAACGCAGGAUGAGUGCGUCCGACAACGAGGAGGACGAGGAGGAAGAUUCUCCCAAGAAACGCAGGACGAGUGGCUCGGACAACGAGGAGUCGUCACCGAUCAAACACGGAGCGUCCGACAACGAGGAGGUGCCGUCUCCCGCCAAACGCAGAGGGAGCAGCUCCGACAUGGAGGACGGCGAGGACGGGCACAAGGCGGCCGCAGACAGCGACUCGGACAACGAAGACGCCAAACCCGCGGCGUCUCCAGAGCGCCGGUCCAACGCCGACAGUGACUCUGACACAGAGACGCCGGCCAGACGCAAGGCAGCGGCGAUAGACUCUGACGAUGACGACAAACAGGAAGGACGAGAAGGGAAGUGGAAGGCUGUGAUGCAGUCUGACAGCGAGGAAGAGGAGGAGGGAGGACGGAGAAAGGCCUCAGCAGGAAGUGAUGGAGAGCAGCGACAGGAAGACGAGGAGCGACGGCAACGAGACGACAGCGAGGACGAGGACGAGAAACCAGUGAAGAGGAAGAAGGCGAUCCUGUCGGACAGCGAAGACGAAGACGAGGAGAAAGAAGACAAACCAGCGGUUAAAAGGAGUCGGGCGGUUUCAGACGACGAGAACUCGGACAGCGACGACGGUUUGGUGGGUCCAGAUAAAAGUCUGGCGGCCAAACUGAAGGAGCUCGGCUCGGACAGCGAGAGCGAAGACGACGAGAGGUUGAAGGCGGCGGAAGGAAACAAGGACGAGAAGGCGCUGUUUGGCAGCGACAGCGAAUCAGGAGACGAGGAGGAGAAAAUGAUUGCCGACAUCUUUGGAGAGUCCGGAGACGAGGAGGAGGAAGAGUUCACGGGGUUCAACCAGGAGGAUCUGGAAGGAGACAAGAAGCAGGCGAAGGAGAAGCAGCAGCAGAUGGAGGAAGACUCCGACUCUGAUGAAGGCAUCGAUCGCAGCGGCCAAGACACCAGCUUCAUGUCUGACUUUGACAUCAUGCUCGCCAAGAGGAAAGCCAUGAACAGCAGGAAGAGGCGGCACAAUGACGGAGGGACGUUCAUCAGCGACGCCGACGACGUGGUCAGCGCCAUGAUCGCCAAGAUGACCGAGGCAGCGCAGGAGGAUCGAACUCUGAACAGCCAGAAGAAACCGGCGCUGAAGAAACUCACUCUGCUGCCGCAAGUCGUCAUGCACCUGAAAAAGCAGGACCUGAAAGAAACCUUUAUCGACAGCGGAGUGAUGUCGGCCAUCAAAGAGUGGAUCAGUCCUCUUCCAGACAAAUCUCUGCCGGCUUUAAGGAUCAGGGAGGAAAUGCUCAGGAUCCUGCAGGAGCUGCCCAGCGUCAGUCAGGAAACCCUGAAGCACAGCGGCAUCGGACGGGCCGUCAUGUUUCUGUACAAACAUCCCAAAGAGUCUCGAUCCAACAAAGACCUCGCUCUCAAACUCAUCAAUGAAUGGUCGCGGCCGAUCUUCGGUUUGACGUCCAACUACAAAGGAAUGACGAGAGAAGAGCGACAGCAGAGAGAUCUGGACCAGCAGAUGCCUCAGAGACGACGACUCAGGUCAGAAAAUCAGACUAAAUCCGACACUUGAACCGAGGUUACAGUAAUAUUAAAUCCAGGUUUAGACAACAGAAUGUGAAUAAGGGAUUCAUUUUAAGGCGUCUUCUCCCUCCUCAACAUAAUCAGUCGCUCUUUUUAUUGUCCCCUGGAUUCUGUUUUCAUCUUCUCUCCUUGUCAUCAGAUGUUCUGUUCUGUCCUUCAGCCUCUUCUGUCCUCUUGUUCCUUGUUUGUCCCAAAACACACACUGCUGGUAUUAGUAUUAUUUAAAGGUUAAUUCAAGUUUAACUCACAUUAGAGCUGCAGCAGACAGAAAACUAAUCAUAAAAAGUGACUAAAUUUCCCCACUUCCAGCUUCUCAAGGGGAGUAAAAUAGGAUUUGUUUAUUGUCACUGCGGCAACAAAAUUAACAGUGAUAUAGCAUAUUGUUGUAAGAAAAGCUUAUUUAGCUUAUUAAAAACUGAUGUUGCACAUAUAAAUAUUGCACAUUCAUAAAUAUUUCUGAAAAUGUAACGACUGAAAGUAGUGAUUUUAAACUGCUUGCUAUUGUUUUAUACAGUUAAAAGCUGCAUAUCUUCAGAUUUUAGCCUGUUAGUCAAACAAAAAACACAUUUAAAGGCAUAUUUCAUAGAAAGAAGCUAAGUACGCUGCUAAAGUCAUAGAAAGAAGCUAAUUAUGCAGCUAAAGUCACAGAAAGAAGCUAAUUACGCAGCUAAAGUCGUAGAAAGAAGCUAAUUAUGCAGCUAAAGUCACAGAAAGAAGCUAAUUACGCAGCUAAAGUCACAGAAAGAAGCUAAUUACGCAGCUAAAGUCACAGAAAGAAGCUAAUUACGCAGCUAAAGUCACAGAAAGAAGCUAUCUACACAGCUAAAGUCACAGAAAGAAGCUAAUUACGCAGCUAAAGUCACAGAAAGAAGCUAUCUACACAGCUAAAGUCACAGAAAGAAGCUAAUUACGCAGCUAAAGUCACAGAAAGAAGCUAAUUACGCAGCUAAGGUCACAGAAAGAAGCUAAUUACGCAGCUAAAGUCACAGAAAGAAGCUAAUUACGCAGCUAAGGUCACAGAAAGAAGCUAAUUACGCAGCUAAAGUCGUAGAAAGAAGCUAAUUAUGCAGCUAAAGUCACAGAAAGAAGCUAAUUACGCAGCUAAAGUCACAGAAAGAAGCUAAUUACGCAGCUAAAGUCACAGAAAGAAGCUAUCUACACAGCUAAAGUCACAGAAAGAAGCUAAUUACGCAGCUAAAGUCACAGAAAGAAGCUAUCUACACAGCUAAAGUCACAGAAAGAAGCUAAUUACGCAGCUAAAGUCACAGAAAGAAGCUAAUUACGCAGCUAAGGUCACAGAAAGAAGCUAAUUACGCAGCUAAAGUCAUAGAAAGAAGCUAAUUACGCAGCUAAAGUCACAGAAAGAAGCUAAUUACGCAGCUAAAGUCACAGAAAGAAGCUAAUUACACAGCUAAAGUCACAGAAAGAAGCUAAUUACGCAGCUAAAGUCACAGAAAGAAGCUAAUUACGCAGCUAAAGUCACAGAAAGAAGCUAAUUACGCAGCUAAGGUCACAGAAAGAAGCUAAUUACGCAGCUAAGGUUACAGAAAGAAGCUAAUUACGCUGCUAAAGUCACAGAAAGAAGCUAAUUACGCAGCUAAAGUCACAGAAAGAAGCUAAUUACGCAGCUAAAGUCACAGAAAGAAGCUAAUUACGCAGCUAAAGUCACAGAAAGAAGCUAAUUACGCAGCUAAAGUCACAGAAAGAAGCUAAUUACGCAGCUAAAGUCACAGAAAGAAGCUAGCUACGCAACUAAAGUCACAGAAAGAAGCUAAUUACGCAGCUAAAGUCACAGAAAGAAGCUAAUUACGCAGCUAAAGUCACAGAAAGAAGCUAAUUACGCAGCUAAAGUCACAGAAAGAAGCUAGCUACACAGCUAAAGUCACAGAAAGAAGCUAAUUGCGCAGCUAAAGUCACAGAAAGAAGCUAAUUGCGCAGCUAAAGUCACAGAAAGAAGCUAAUUACACAGCUAAGGUCACAGAAAGAAGCUAAUUACGCAGCUAAGGUCACAGAAAGAAGCUAAUUACGCUGCUAAAGUCACAGAAAGAAGCUAAUUACGCAGCUAAAGUCACAGAAAGAAGCUAAUUACGCUGCUAAAGUCACAGAAAGAAGCUAAUUACGCAGCUAAAGUCACAGAAAGAAGCUAAUUACGCAGCUAAAGUCACAGAAAGAAGCUAAUUACGCUGCUAAAGUCACAGAAGGAAGCUAGCUACGCAGCUAAAGUCACAGAAAGAAGCUAAUUGCGCAGCUAAAGUCACAGAAAGAAGCUAAUUACACAGCUAAGGUCACAGAAAGAAGCUAAUUACGCAGCUAAGGUCACAGAAAGAAGCUAAUUACGCUGCUAAAGUCACAGAAAGAAGCUAACUACACAGCUAAAGUCACAGAAAGAAGCUAAUUACGCAGCUAAAGUCACAGAAAGAAGCUAAUUACGCUGCUAGAGUCACAGAAAGAAACUAGCUACACAGCUAAAGUCAUAGAUAUGUAUUAUUAUUGUAUUUUUGGUGAAUAAAGUCGUUUUCAAACAGAGCCGGACCUCAUGUUUAAAGUUUCCACAUUGACGCCAUCAGUAAAGAUGAUUUUUGCCAAACAAACUGCCACCACUGCAGAUAGCAAAAGUAUUUUCAAAGGUACAAAUUCUUUGUUUUCUGCUGCUCAGAAUUUGGCCUCUGUGUGACACAAAACAAUAAAAUCUCCCUUCGACCUCAAACGUUGCAUCAGGAGACCUUCUAAGAUGGAGACAGAUAAACCGAUUUAGAUCUGGUGAAAGUUUUCAGCUUAAAAUCUCUAAAGCACUUUGUUAAAUGUCCGUUCCAGGAUGCUAAUUUCAGACUGAAAACAUGUAAUUCAUGUAAAAAUGCAUUUUUUUUAGCACAGAAAGCUGCAUUAAUGUCAUUCUUUACUAAAGUGUGAGUUUUGGGACGGUUUUUCUUCUUCCUCUUCAUCGUCAGUCAGCCUCAGAAGGUGGAGAGGACGGAGGAGCCCGACGUCUUCUCUCCACCCACCAGGUCCAGUCAACAACCUGCAUGUUUGCACUGUAACUACGACUGACGGGGACUUUAGUAAAAAACAAACCUUUAACGUCUUCCUGCAGCUGUUUGAGCCUAACUUUACUGUAAAAGCUCUCAGAACCUUUAAUUAGUGGCUUCAGCUGAAACUGGUGAAAUACAAAAGUAGACUUUUUGGUGGAAGUAUUUGGACAGAAAAGGAUAUUUUGUGUGGAAUAAACCUUUUAAAACCGUAAAUAUUUGACCAAAAGUAGUAUUUAGGGUGGAAUAAACAUUUAGAGCUAAAUGUUUGGAUUCAAAGUAGUUUUUAAGGUUUAUUUUGCCCAAAAUACUAAAUAUUGGAGUGGAAAGUGGUAUUUUAGGUCAAACAACACUUUAAAAAUUAAGUAUUUGAUAUGAAUAAACUCUUAAAACUGUAAAUAUUUGGACCAAAAAGUGUAUUUUAGAUGAACUAAAGCUUAAACUGUCCACAGUGGAACAGAAAGAAACACUUUGUGUGGACAUACCUUUAAUAACUACAAAUGUUUGGACAGGAAGUAGUGUUUUAGGUGUAAUAAACCUGAAACAUUUCAGUCAAAAGUAGCGUUUUGAAGGGGAAUAAACAUUUAAACUGAAACGUAUGUGGACAGAAAAAUGUUUGUUGGAUGGACAAGGACUUUCCAACUGCAAGUAUUUGAACAGAAAAUAGUAUUUUAGUUUGUGAUACACAUUUAAAACUGCAAAUAUUUGAUCAUAAAGUAGUAUUUUCCAUGUGAUAAACCUUUAAAACUGCAAGAAUUUGGGCAUAAAGUAGCGUUUCAGGCGGAGUAAACCAUGAAAACGACAAAUAUUUGGACAGGAAGUAGUAUUUUGGGCAGAAUAAACCUUCAAAUCUACAAAUUUCUGAACAGGAAGUAAUAUUUUGGGUGUGAUAAAUCUUUAAAACUACAAUUUUUGCGGCAUCAAGUAGUAGUUUGGGUGGACUACAUCUUUCCAAUUGUGAAGUUUUUAGACAGGAAGUAGUAUUUUGGGUGGAGUAAACCUGGAAAACAACAAAUAUUUGGACAGGAAGUAGUAUUUUGGGCAGAAUAAACCUUCAAAUCUACAAAUUUCUGAACAGGAAGUAAUAUUUUGGGUGUGAUAAAUCUUUAAAACUACAAUUUUUGCGGCAUCAAGUAGUAGUUUGGGUGGACUACAUCUUUCCAGUUGUGAAGUUUUUAGACAGGAAGUAGUAUUUUGGGCGGAGUAAACCUGGAAAACGACAAAUAUUUGGACAGGAAGUAGUAUUUUGGGUGGAGUAAACCUUUAAAACUACCGAUGUGGUUGAUGAGACGCUUGUUUCCCCGGUAACAGGCAGCAGGGGGCGCUGCUGCAGAGCGGGGUUAAAGCGUAGGACGGUAAACGGAGCGAAGGACUGAACGGCCGUCCACAUUAAGGAACGUUUCUGAGCCUCUCUUCUAAUCCUGGAGUUGGUUUUGUGCUUCUUAACGUGAAUGGAUCUGAAAGUGUAAAAGUUUGUGGAUCUUCAGGUGAGACUGGAGGACCUGCUUUACCUGCAGACGCCUGUAGAUGGAGACUAACCGGCAGUGGUGCUCAGAUAACAGCAUGAGCUCCUGGACUGAUCAAAGAUCUCCUCGUUAAGCCAACCGUCUGUUUCUGCUUCUUCUUCUGCAGCUCUGGAGGUCAGACGCCUCGCAGGGAUCUGGAGAAACAGCUGACCGGAGAGGAAAAAGCUCUGCGGCCCGGUGAUCCGGGUUUCUGUGCUCGAGCUCGGGUCCCGAUGCCCUCCAACAAGGACUACGUGGUCCGACCCAAGUGGAACGUGGAGGGAGACUCCAGCCGG